CCUGCGGGAGGCUGCAGUGGGGAAUAUUGGACAAUGGGCGAAAGCCUGAUCCAGCCAUGCCGCGUGUGUGAAGAAGGCCUUCGGGUUGUAAAGCACUUUCAGUGGGGAAGAAAGCCUUGGGGCUAAUACCCUCGAGGAAGGACAUCACCCACAGAAGAAGCACCGGCUAACUCCGUGCCAGCAGCCGCGGUAAUACGGAGGGUGCGAGCGUUAAUCGGAAUUACUGGGCGUAAAGCGCGCGUAGGCGGUCUGAUAAGCCGGUUGUGAAAGCCCCGGGCUCAACCUGGGAACGGCAUCCGGAACUGUCAGGCUAGAGUGCAGGAGAGGAAGGUAGAAUUCCCGGUGUAGCGGUGAAAUGCGUAGAGAUCGGGAGGAAUACCAGUGGCGAAGGCGGCCUUCUGGACUGACACUGACGCUGAGGUGCGAAAGCGUGGGUAGCAAACAGGAUUAGAUACCCUAGUAGUC
rnacentral:rRNA from 1 species